UUCUUGGUCAUUUAGAGGAAGUAAAAGUCGUAACAAGGUUUCCGUAGGUGAACCUGCGGAAGGAUCAUUACCGAGUAAGGGUCUCUCAGGCCCGAUCUCCCACCCUAUGUGUACCUACCUUUGUUGCUUUGGCGGGCCCGCUGGGGCAACCCACCGUCGGCUUCGGCUGGCGAGCGCCCGCCAGAGACCAUCCAAACUCUGUUUAUCAGUGUCGUCUGAGAAAAAACACAAUAGUUAAAACUUUCAACAACGGAUCUCUUGGUUCUGGCAUCGAUGAAGAACGCAGCGAAAUGCGAUAAGUAAUGUGAAUUGCAGAAUUCAGUGAAUCAUCGAAUCUUUGAACGCACAUUGCGCCCCCUGGUAUUCCGGGGGGCAUGCCUGUUCGAGCGUCAUUACACCACUCAAGCUCAGCUUGGUAUUGGGCCCUCGUCCCGCGGGACGUGCCUGAAAAUCAGUGGCGGUGCUGCCUGACUUCAAGCGUAGUAAUUUCUACCCUCGCUUUGGAAGCUCGGGACGUGUGCCUGCCAUACAACCCCCAUCU
rnacentral:rRNA from 1 species